GACGAACGCUGGCGGCGUGCUUAACACAUGCAAGUCGAACGGAAAGGCCCCUUUGGGGGUGCUCGAGUGGCGAACGGGUGAGUAACACGUGGGUGAUCUGCCCUGCACUUCGGGAUAAGCUUGGGAAACUGGGUCUAAUACCGGAUAGGACCACAUGCUGCAUGGUGUGUGGUGGAAAGUUUUUUGCGGUGUGGGAUGGGCCCGCGGCCUAUCAGCUUGUUGGUGGGGUGAUGGCCUACCAAGGCGACGACGGGUAGCCGGCCUGAGAGGGUGUCCGGCCACACUGGGACUGAGAUACGGCCCAGACUCCUACGGGAGGCAGCAGUGGGGAAUAUUGCACAAUGGGCGCAAGCCUGAUGCAGCGACGCCGCGUGGGGGAUGACGGCCUUCGGGUUGUAAACCUCUUUCACCAUCGACGAAGCUGGCGGGUUUUCUUGUCGGUGACGGUAGGUGGAGAAGAAGCACCGGCCAACUACGUGCCAGCCGCCGCCGUAACAC
rnacentral:rRNA from 1 species